rnacentral:lncRNA from 1 species
GAUCAUGGUCAAACAAUCAAAAACAGAAGUGAGAUGAAGAUUGGAAGUCAAGAAAUGAACAAAAUAUUUUUUGGCAUUUUUAAUAUAAAAAAUAAACUUGAAUUAAAAUAUUAAAGAAAGGUCAAACUUCAAAAUCACUUCAAAUCAACUUUUUGGCAUUUUUAAUAUAAAAAAUAAACUUGAAUUAAAAUAUUAAAGAAAGGUCAAACUUCAAAAUCACUUCAAAUCAACUUUUAAAGGUCCAAGUGAUUUAUCCCAAGUCCAACAAGGUCAAACAAAGUUUGACAAAAAAUUUCAGCAUUUUUAAAAGUCAGAAACUAUUUU